rfam:Camelus ferus unplaced genomic scaffold scaffold995, whole genome shotgun sequence.
GAGGGUGUAGCUCAAGUGGUAGAGCGCAUGCGUAGCAUGUAUGAGGUCCUGGGUUCAAUCCCCAGUACCUCCU